ACAGAACGUACCUGUGUACCAUAUUUAUGAUUCUUGUAUUGAAAAUAAUAAUUAUUAAUACAAGUUUGAAAUUCAUUUUUCAUGAAUUACCUAAGUUUGAAUAAUGCUUGAUAAAUAUUUUUUUGAUUUAAAUAAUGGUGAAGAGAUUUUUGGGUUCCGAUUUAGAAGACAGAAAAAGAUGCUCUGUUGCAGAAUAAAAGAGCCGUUUCCACUAUCAUCACCGACUUUGGGGAGUGGUGAUGAAGCUACCUCGAGACAGAGAUACCAGCACAGAUAUUUCACCCUUUAUGCAAAACAUCCCUGAGUAACCUUCUCAUCCCGUCUACCAUCCAUAACCCAUCCCUACCCAUCCCUCAGAGGUACUUAGGUACUUCACCCUUUAUGACCUUAUCAUCCCGUCUAUAAGUGACCUUAUGAUCCAUCCGCCAUCUUCCCAAGGGGUGAUGAAUCUGAAAAGACUCAGAGGUACCAGCAUAGGUAUUUCACCCUUUAUAUACGAAUCAUACUAAAUUGCCUUAUCAUCCCAUGUAUCAUCCAUCCUCAUCCAUCCCCUGAGGGGUGAUGAAUCUGAAAAGACUCAGAGGUACCAGCAUAGAUAUUUCACCCUUUAAACAAACCACCCACUACACCCAUCCCUCAUUAUUCUAAGGUGUGAUAAAUCAGUCAAGAAUCAGAGGUACCGGCAUGGAUAUUUCACCCUUUAUGUAAAUCAGAAAAAAAUGUAUUUUCAUAAUAUCUAUCAUCGAUUGUAAUCCAAAAAAAUAUUAAUCCCCAAGAAUCAGAGGUACCAGCAUGGAUAUAUCACCCCUUAUAUACAAAUCAUACAAAAUAAUCUUUUCAUCCCUUCUAUCAUCCAUACCGUAUCAUCCCAAGUGGUGAUGAAUCUGAAAAAAAUCAGAGGUACCAGCAUAGGUAUUUCACCCUUUAUAUACAAAACAUCCAUUACUAACCUUUGCAUCCCAUCAAUCAUCCAUCCGUAUCCUUCCCUCUUCAUCUUAAGGGGAGAUGGAUCUAAACAGUCCGUCCCUUAUCAUCCCAAAUUAUGAUGAAUUAAACGAGACUCAGAGGUAUCGGCAUAGGUAUUUCACCCUUUAUAUACAAAUCAUUCAAAAUUAUCUUUUCAUCCCAUCUAUCAUCCAUCUUCAUUCAUUCUAUCCCGUCCUUUGAAGACUUUCCUUUACCAGGAAGAAACCUAAUAAUACAUCAGUUGAAGACUUCAUUGAGAAAAACAUUUCUGCGAACAGCCCACAAAACUACACAUUUCAGAAAUUCAAGAUGGCUGCUUUUCAAAACAUAUUAAGAUCUGUAUUUUGAAUAAUAUGUAAUUCUUCUAUUGUAAAUAGGAGAUGAAGGUGAUUGCAAUAUGUAAUUUCAAUAAACAUCUAUACAUAUAAUAAAUCUGUAAAAAAACUGUGUCUGUACAUUGAAUAUAUUAAAAAAAUAAUAAUUGGGUGGG